rnacentral:ncRNA from 1 species
CAUUCGGCCCGUCUUGAAACACGGACCAAGGAGUCUGACAUGUGUGCGAGUCAACGGGCUAGAAAACCUGUAAGACGUAAGGAAGCUGAUUGGGGGGAUCCCUCACGGGUGCACCGCUAACCGACCUUGAUCUUUUGAGAAGGGUUCGAGUGAGAGCAUGCCUGUCGGGACCCGAAAGAUGGUGAGCUAUGCCUGAGCGGGGCGAAGCC